rnacentral:rRNA from 1 species
GAUGAACGCUGGCGGCGUGCCUAAUACAUGCAAGUCGAGCGAACGGACGAGAAGCUUGCUUCUCUGAUGUUAGCGGCGGACGGGUGAGUAACACGUGGAUAACCUACCUAUAAGACUGGGAUAACUUCGGGAAACCGUAGCUAAUACCGGAUAAUAUUUUGAACCGCAUGGUUCAAAAGUGAAAGACGGUCUUGCUGUCACUUAUAGAUGGAUCCGCGCUGCAUUAGCUAGUUGGUAAGGUAACGGCUUACCAAGGCAACGAUGCAUAGCCGACCUGAGAGGGUGAUCAGCCAACCUGGAACUGAGACACGGUCCAGACUCCUACGGGAGGCAGCAGUAGGGAAUCUUCCGCAAUGGGCGAAAGCCUGACGGAGCAACGCCGCGUGAGUGAUGAAGGUCUUCGGAUCGUAAAACUCUGUUAUUAGGGAAGAACAUAUGUGUAAGUAACUGUGCACAUCUUGACGGUACCUAAUCAGAAAGCCACGGCUAACUACGUG